UUGACCUCAAAUCAGGUAGGAUUACCCGCUGAACUUAAGCAU
rnacentral:rRNA from 3 species